GCUAACUGAUAUCAGAAUGUAUAAAGGAUAUGGAAAGAUCACAAAUAGCUAGAAGAACAGACAUAGAGUUGGUGGAAAAAUCUAUUUUUUUUUAUUUUAUUCAGAAAAUAUCUGAAGAUUACACGAGAAUACUAGCUAUUGGUACAUUUAUGUCUUUCCUCUCUUGGACAUCAUCAAACCUUUGCCUUCUUAUUUUUUCUCAGGGUGCUACUCGCAAAUUAGCUACACAAAGAAAGACUAUAGAGGGCGUUGAAUCUGUUGGUGUAGCAGCGAAGCGAGUGAAGCUGCCAGCCUAUUUAAUUAAAAAAGAAGGGAUCAUUGCACUUUUAUUAAAACACGACCAGCAGCAACAGCGACUAGCGUUCCCUUUUCAACUUCAACAGAGAUUCAGUGGCAACAGGCAUUACAUCGAGCAGCUGGAAGGUUUUCUCAAAAAGACCCUUUUGAGAGUAAACUGACAACAUUGUGUUCCAAGAUUGGGCGUUCUUGUCUGACAGUUCAUUAAAGGCCUGUUGCGCAUACUCUAUGGAACAACAUUUAGAGUACAUGUAUAUCAGACGGUUGGCGAGGAAUGUGUUAAAGGUUAAUGCCGUCUUGAUCAGACGGGAGUGUAUGAGUCUCCCAAGCUUGAGAUCAUUAGUUCGGAUGCAGUUUGAAAGGAGGCGCGCGAAGUGAUGCACAGGCUCAGCAGAUAUUGCUUCACUUGGUUGCAUGAGAGCAGAUUAUUUCUAUAAUUAACAAAAAUAUUCAGGAUUAGCAAGGGAAGAAUAUGUCGCAGAAUGCAUGAAAUAAUCGUAUAUUUGAAAUCUUAUGGAUUUUUACAUGGUUGCGAUUUGCGAAUUUAAAAUUUUCGUGGCAGAUAUUUUUGUCGACUUCUCAUGAUUUAUUUAGUAAUAGUUCCAAAAUUGCGAUAGGGAAUUGUAGCUAAUAUAGAAAACAUGUACAUUUAAUUCUUGUUGAAACAAUAUUAGGGAGUACUAAUUUCUU